AUUGAACGCUGGCGGCAGGCCUAACACAUGCAAGUCGAACGGUAACGGAAAGCAGCUUGCUGCUUUGCUGACGAGUGGCGGACGGGUGAGUAAUGUCUGGGAAACUGCCUGAUGGAGGGGGAUAACUACUGGAAACGGUAGCUAAUACCGCAUAACGUCGCAAGACCAAAGAGGGGGACCUUCGGGCCUCUUGCCAUCGGAUGUGCCCAGAUGGGAUUAGCUUGUUGGUGGGGUAACGGCUCACCAAGGCGACGAUCCCUAGCUGGUCUGAGAGGAUGACCAGCCACACUGGAACUGAGACACGGUCCAGACUCCUACGGGAGGCAGCAGUGGGGAAUAUUGCACAAUGGGCGCAAGCCUGAUGCAGCCAUGCCGCGUGUAUGAAGAAGGCCUUCGGGUUGUAAAGUACUUUCAGCGGGGAGGAAGGGAGUAAAGUUAAUACCCUUGCUCAUUGACGUA
rnacentral:rRNA from 1 species